UACGUAGGGGGCAAGCGUUGUCCGGAUUUAUUGGGCGUAAAGAGCGUGUAGGCGGCCAUACAGGUCAGCUGUGAAAACUCGAGGCUCAACCUCGAGACGUCGGUUGAAACCGUAUGGCUAGAGUCCGGAAGAGGAGAGCGGAAUUCCCGGUGUAGCGGUGAAAUGCGCAGAUAUCGGGAAGAACACCCGUGGCGAAGGCAGCUCGCUGGGACGUGACUGACGCUGAGACGCGAAAGCGUGGGGAGCAAACAGG
rnacentral:rRNA from 1 species